rnacentral:tRNA from 5 species
GAGCCCGUAGCUCAGCUGGAUAGAGCAACAGCCUUCUAAGCUGUAGGUCGGACGUUCGAAUCGUCUCGGGCUCGCCA